rnacentral:misc_RNA from 1 species
UUGACUUAUUUAAAGUUUUUCUCAGAGAUACGUAAAAACAAGAGUUUGGUGGUCCUUCGGCGGGCUACAGGGCAGCUACUGGGUAACCACAGGGUAGUUCCGCCGAGGCAACAGAGGUAUGUUCACAUGGGUUUAUGGAGUUUUACAACUCUGUAAUGAUCCCUCCGCUGGUUCACCAACGGAGA